UGUCUCUCUCUUCGCGUCUGUCUGUGUGUUAGAUUCAAAGAAAUCAAACGCGACUCUGAGCUUCGUAUGGCAAGCCGGUGGCCCAAAAGCCGAUUCGAUUGCGUGAAACUCCUCCAAGCUUAUACACCUAAAACUUCCUCCCAAUUCCGGUAAAAAUUUUAGAGAAGGGGACCAGGAAAGGUUCAAUCCACAGGUAUGCAUUUUUGUUCGUGUUAAUUUUUGCACAUUCUCAUUAUAUUUCUUCCUGUAUGUACCUUUUCUCUGGUUAUCUUGACGCCAUAAACCUCAAGAUUCAAUUUGAUUUGAAUUUUUAACUAAUUAUUUCUUUGACAAUCUUUACCAGAUUUAUCAAUUAAGAGGUUGGUUACUCACCUCUGAUCAUUCUUUUAUUUUUAUUUUUGGGCUGAAUGAUGAAAACUUGGAUUGCAGAUCAUGGGCAGAACUUUUUAACUUGGGAUUUAAGGUUCCGUCUACUUAACCUUUUGGCUUGGGAUUCAGUCAAAAGCCGAUUUUCAUUGCGUGUUUUGGGAAAUUCAAUGUCUAAAACUCGUAUAAGGAUAAUAAUUUCCAGGGCUAGCAGCGGGGGUGAAGUUUGGAAAUCUUGAAACUGGAACUCAGAGAUAGGGAGAGAGGAGAGGGAGAGAAAGGGAAGGUGGGUAGAGAAAAUGCUAAAUUACUAUUUUGCCCUUUUAAAAUUGAGUAAAAUGUGGUCAAAAUUAAUUUUUCAUGUCAAAAUCACUUUUUUAAGUCAACUAAAGAAAAUUUGGAUAGAUUCCAUUCAAAAGGGGCUCAGAUGCAACGUUUGAAAAUGUUUGGAGUGAUGGCUGCAAUAAAUGAAAUAUUGGAAAAGUCUGCUGGUGUUAAAAGGUUUGGGACUUCUGUUACAAUUUUCCCUAAAUUAUAUGGCAUUAUAUUUGAGUGAACAUUAUAUUUAAUGAUAUGUAGUAACUACUUGACACAGGUUGAGAUAUGCUAUUUAAUUGUUUUUGUCUAA
rnacentral:lncRNA from 1 species